UACGUAGGGUGCAAGCGUUGUCCGGAAUCAUUGGGCGUAAAGAGCGUGUAGGCGGUCCGAUAAGUCCGCUCUGAAAGCCCGGGGCUCAACCCUGGGAUGCCGGUGGAUACUGUCGGGCUCGAGUCCGGAAGAGGCGAGUGGAAUUCCUGGUGUAGCGGUGAAAUGCGUAGAUAUCAGGAGGAACACCUGCGGUGUAGACGGCUCACUGGCCCGAUACUGACGCUGAGGCACGAAAGCGUGGGGAGCAAACAGG
rnacentral:rRNA from 1 species